AUUGAACGCUGGCGGCAGGCCUAACACAUGCAAGUCGAACGGUAGCACAGAGGAGCUUGCUCCUCGGGUGACGAGUGGCGGACGGGUGAGUAAUGUCUGGGAAACUGCCUGAUGGAGGGGGAUAACUACUGGAAACGGUAGCUAAUACCGCAUAACGUCGCAAGACCAAAGAGGGGGACCUUCGGGCCUCUUGCCAUCAUAUGUGCCCAGAUGGGAUUAGCUAGUAGGUGGGGUAAUGGCUCACCUAGGCGACGAUCCCUAGCUGGUCUGAGAGGAUGACCACCCACACUGGAACUGACACACGGUCCACACUCCUACGGGAGGCAGCAGUGGGGAAUAUUGCACAAUGGGCGCAAGCCUGAUGCACCCAUGCCGCGUGUAUGAAAAAGGCCUUCGGGUUGUAAAGUACUUUCCGCGGGGAGGAAGGCGUUGCGGUUAAUAACCGCAGCGAUUGACGUUACCCGCAGAACAAGCACACGGCUAACUCCGUGCCAGCACUCGCGGUAAUACGGACGGUGCGAGCGUUAAUCGGAAUUACUGGGCGUAAAGCGCCCGCAGGCGGUCUGUCAAGUCGGAUGUGAAAUCCCCCGGGCUCAACCUGGGAACUGCAUUCGAAACUGGCAGGCUUGAGUCUUGUAGAGGGGGGUAGAAUUCCAGGUGUAGCGGUGAAAUGCGUAGAGAUCUGGAGGAAUACCGGUGGCGAAGGCGGCCCCCUGGACAAAGACUGACGCUCAGGUGCGAAAGCGUGGGGAGCAAACAGGAUUAGAUACCCUGGUAGUCCACGCUGUAAACGAUGUCGACUUGGAGGUUGUGCCCUUGAGGCGUGGCUUCCGGAGCUAACGCGUUAAGUCGACCGCCUGGGGAGUACGGCCGCAAGGUUAAGACUCAAAUGAAUUGACGGGGGCCCGCACAAGCGGUGGAGCAUGUGGUUUAAUUCGAUGCAACGCGAAGAACCUUACCUACUCUUGACAUCCACGGAACUUGCCAGAGAUGGCUUGGUGCCUUCGGGAACCGUGAGACAGGUGCUGCAUGGCUGUCGUCAGCUCGUGUUGUGAAAUGUUGGGUUAAGUCCCGCAACGAGCGCAACCCUUAUCCUUUGUUGCCAGCGGUUAGGCCGGGAACUCAAAGGAGACUGCCAGUGAUAAACUGGAGGAAGGUGGGGAUGACGUCAAGUCAUCAUGGCCCUUACGAGUAGGGCUACACACGUGCUACAAUGGCGCAUACAAAGAGAAGCGAACUCGCGAGAGCAAGCGGCCCUCAUAAAGUGCGUCGUAGUCCGGAUCGGAGUCUGCAACUCGACUCCGUGAAGUCGGAAUCGCUAGUAAUCGUGGAUCAGAAUGCCACGGUGAAUACGUUCCCGGGCCU
rnacentral:rRNA from 1 species